rnacentral:rRNA from 1 species
GACGGGGGGGGCAAGUGUUCUUCGGAAUGACUGGGCGUAAAGGGCACGUAGGCGGUGAAUCGGGCUGAAAGUGAAAGUCGCCAAAAAGUGGCGGAAUGCUCUCGAAACCAAUUCACUUGAGUGAGACAGAGGAGAGUGGGAUUUCGUGUGUAGGGGUGAAAUCCGUAAAUAUACGAAGGAACGCCAAAAGCGAAGGCAGCUCUCUGGGUCCCUACCGACGCUGGGGUGCGAAAGCAUGGGGAGCGAACAGG